rnacentral:rRNA from 1 species
GUCUUUUUAGUAUAUUAAUAUAAAGUCUGACCUGCCCACUGAAUAAAGUUUGAAGGGCCGCAGUAUUUUGACUGUGCAAAGGUAGCAUAAUCAUUAGUCUUUUAAUUGAAGGCUGGUAUGAAUGGUUGGAUGAGAUACAAGCUGUGUCAUAAAAAUUAAAUUUUGAAUUUAACUUUUUAGUCAAAAGGCUAAAAUAACUUUAAAAGACGAGAAGACCCUAUAGAGCUUUAUAUAAUAAUUAUUUAAAUUAUUAAGAUUUAUUAAAUUUAACUUUUGUGUUAUAUUUUGUUGGGGUGACAAUAAAAUUUAUAAAACUUUUAUUUUUAUUUAACAUUAAUUUAUGAUUACAUGAUCCAGUUUUAUUGAUUAUAAAUUUAAGUUACCUUAGGGAUAACAGCGUAAUUUUUUUUGAGAGUUCUUAUCGACAAAAAAGAUUGCGACCUCGAUGUUGGAUUAAGAGUAAUUUUGGGUGUAGAAGUUCAAAGUUUAAGUCUGUUCGACUUUUAAAUUCUUACAU